rnacentral:lncRNA from 1 species
UUCUUUUAUAAGAAUUCAUUCAGGGAAGAUAACACAAAUUAACUCACACCAAAACAUAUAUGAAGAGAUUUGAAGUAUAUGAUUUAGAAACGGACCACAAAUUAGCAAACUUCUUUUAAUAUAUGAAUUUGAUUACAUUUAACUCCGGCGAACCGAGCCUGAACCGUAGAGAUGACAUGGUAACAGAUUGAUGGAAACUCGGACGGUACCAAACUCGACUCAGACACAACUCCACCGGUUGCAAACUAAAGACUCGCCGGUGACGAAAUCUAGCUAAAUAGUGACAAGCAAAUUUUAAAAGGCCGAACAAAGGCUGAGAAUAACUAUGGUGAGUCCAGCUGCCAAUUGAGAUGAAAACAGAAACUAACAGCAGUCCGAAAUCGGAGGAAGAAAAUUGGAAGCCCAGGCAAAUCACUUCGAAAUCAGCAACGAGCCAACACAGAUGACACAUCAAUGACGCUGGAAAUGUCGGACCAAACCAAGCGAACUCCAGCGAUAAAUUCAAAUCACCCUCAAACUCAAUUGACUAAUAAAACAAUGAGAAUCCAAGUGAUGCAACAGAAAUUAUUUCGAAUCCACAACAGAAACAAUUUGGACUCCAAACAGUUUCAAUUUUGCAUUGUUUUCAGAUCUGAUUUUUGGAAUUUGAGUACUACUUUCUUAAGCUGAGAAAUCUGAUUCUGCCUUUGGCGUGUCGGGGAAAGUUUCAGAUCAAGAUCUUAUUUCUUAGAUUAUUACUUCUAUAAAUAGAUAGAAGAGGAAUCAAGCAAAGGGAAUAUUCAAAAGGGGUGGGAGAGAAGUCCAAGAAAAAGAAGAGAAAUCAGAAAGGAAACGGGUUGAAGCUGCACAAGUGUGGAAUGAGCUUUGAGUGCCUUGUACUUCUAGGGGAUUUCAGAGUUUUUUAGUAAAGGAGAUUUUUAGUGUAUGAGAGCUUACAAAGAAGAAAAGAGAUGGAACCACACUCCUGUUAUUGAGAACGGCGGGUUUGGAUGAGAGGAGUGACGGAUGGUGGUGAGUUUUGGUCUAGAAUUGGGUACUUAGCUUUUUGCAGCCAUGGUGUUUCUAGUUCUAGGGUUUUUGUUGCUUCAUGUUGAAGAAUGAAUAGUCUGAUGGUCUUUUUGGGUUAGGGAAGAAAGGGGUCUUGUUGGGCUUAAAAAUUAGGCGCCUUGCUAAAAUUGGACCAUAAAUAAGAC